UAAAAAUUUUAGACCCCUAAAAAAAUCCCAUCUCACUUAUUUAACCCCUAAAUCUGGGGGGAAAACCCCUAAGUUGGGAACACUGGAUGUUCUUUAAAAAAA